rnacentral:rRNA from 1 species
AUGAACGCUGGCGGCGUGCUUUAACACAUGCAAGUCGAACGAGAAUCUGUGGAUCGAGGAUUCGUCCAAGUGAAGCAGAGGACAGUGGCGGACGGGUGAGUAACGCGUGAGGAACCUGCCUUUCAGAGGGGGACAACAGUUGGAAACGACUGCUAAUACCGCAUGAUACAUUUGGGUGGCAUCAUCUGAAUGUCAAAGAUUUAUCGCUGAAAGAUGGCCUCGCGUCUGAUUAGCUAGUUGGUGAGGUAACGGCCCACCAAGGCGACGAUCAGUAGCCGGACUGAGAGGUUGACCGGCCACAUUGGGACUGAGAUACGGCCCAGACUCCUACGGGAGGCAGCAGUGGGGAAUAUUGGGCAAUGGGCGCAAGCCUGACCCAGCAACGCCGCGUGAAGGAAGAAGGCUUUCGGGUUGUAAACUUCUUUUAAGAGGGAAGAGCAGAAGACUGUACCUCUAGAAUAAGCCACGGCUAACUACGUG